CAAAGAUGUGCACACACACAUACACAUGCAUACAUACAUGUGCAGACACACACACACGGUGCCCUACAAUUCAGGGCAGGGGGAGGCAGGUGCCCUUGAGAGUGGCUCGGCUGCAGCUGUGGUUGUCCUCCAGGCUGGUGGUUCCCUGACCUGGCUGAGCCUCAGAAUCACCUGAAGCUUUUAACAAGGUGUCCCCAGCCCUCCAUCUGAGAUUCUGACUCCUAGGGCCUGAGACAUGUCCAGGGAUCUUGAUUUGCUCUACCUCUCUGAGCUCUUGACCACUCUACCUCCAGAUAGUAAAAGCCUUCAAGGCAUAGAUCAAAUAGCCUCUCUACUGUUGGGCCCUCCUUGACUCCCGGAAGGUUAAUUGUCCUCUCUUCUGGGUUCUCAUGGUUUCUUUUUCAUUCUCCGACACAGCAUUUGUCUUAGAAUCCUGUGUGUGUGCCUUUCCCUAGGCUGUGAGCUCUGCAGGGGCACCAUUAUGUCAGAUUUCCCUCUGAUCCCAGCAGGGCUUCCUGACCUUCAGAGUGUGGGUCUCACUUGAUCUGAACCCACCUUCACAGCUCUAAGGGAGUCAGUCCAGCUCCUGCCUAGUUAUUUCUGCCAGUUUUUAUGCCACACUGGCUCUGUGCUUCUAGUAUCUGCAUUUAAUGCUUAGAUUCUACCAGAGCUAGUUUGGGCACAAAGUUUCCAGAUGCUCCUCACAUCCAAGUAUUUGUGAAGAAUUUGAAGGCUGGGGGUUUGUGGGAGGGGUCACAUUGCAAGCUCCAGUGUCGGCCAUCUUGCUCGCGACAGCCUCCUUUUCUGGCUCCUUCCUGGUGCAGCUUGGAAAUCCUUCCCUUAUCUCUCACAGAGAAGUUCCGCCCAUCUUCAGAGCACUGAGAGCUCAGCUUCUGCCCCAGGAAUCUCUUCUGAAAAAACGCAAAGGAAUUCUGGUGACUGGAUUUGAUCCACUUGGCUACUUUGCAGGAGGUAGAGACAUGUAUCAGCUCCCACUAGGAGUGUUCUGCUCAGCAUGAAGUGCCACCUAUUUAGGGAGAAGAGGAGUCGAAGAUGUUUCCUUGAGGGAAGUUCACAAUCACAGAAAGAGACCAAGAGGAGGCUGAGAGGGGAUGGCAACCUGUGCUAGAGGUAGAUAAAAUAGUUGCUCUGGAAGUUUCCCAGAGUGACCACACCCUGAACCAAGAGGUUAGACUGAAGCCAGCUGUUUUCUUCAACCAAGAGGUUAGACUGUGGCCAGGUGUCUCCUUCAACCAAGAGGUUAGACUGUGGCCAGGUGUCUCCUCCACCGAGAGGUUAAACCAUGGCCAGCUGUUUCAUUCAACCCAGAGGUUAGACUGCAGCCAGGUGUCUCCUUCAACCAAGAGGUUAGACCGUGGCGAAGUGUCUCCUUCAGCUGAGAGACCACAGCCAGUGCCUCCUUCAACCAAUAGGUUAGACCACGGCCAGGUGCCUCCUUCAACCGAGAGGUUAGACUGCAGCCAGGUGUUUCAUUCAACCAAGAGGUUAGACCAUGGCCAAGUAUCUCCUUCAAUCAAGAGGCUGGACAACAGCCAGGUGUUUCCUUGUGGAAAUCAUUUGCAGGUGGCAAAUGGUUUUUGGGUCAUGAAAUCAGCCCAGUGUGUCACAGCCAGGUGAACUG
rnacentral:lncRNA from 1 species